AUUGAACGCUGGCGGCAGGCCUAACACAUGCAAGUCGAGCGGAUGACGGGAGCUUGCUCCUGGAUUCAGCGGCGGACGGGUGAGUAAUGCCUAGGAAUCUGCCUGGUAGUGGGGGACAACGUUUCGAAAGGAACGCUAAUACCGCAUACGUCCUACGGGAGAAAGCAGGGGACCUUCGGGCCUUGCGCUAUCAGAUGAGACUAGGUCGGAUUAGCUAGUUGGUGCGGUAAUGGCUCACCAAGGCGACGAUCCGUAACUGGUCUGAGAGGAUGAUCAGUGACACUGGAACUGAGACACGGUCCAGACUCCUACGGGAGGCAGCAGUGGGGAAUAUUUGACAAUGGGCAAAAGCCUGAUCCAGCCAAGCCGCGUGUGUGAAGAAGGUCUUCGGAUUGUAAAGCACUUUAAGUUGGGAGGAAGGGUUGUAGAUUAAUACUCUGCAAUUUUGACGUUACCGACAGAAUAAGCACCGGCUAACUCUGUGCCAGCAGCCGCAGUAAGAC
rnacentral:rRNA from 1 species